GUAUUCUCUUACCAUGUUCGUCAGCCAAUUUGCAUGCUCGAAUACACCUAGAUCUGAGCCUUAGAUCAAAAAACGUUCUUCAUCAAAGUUGUUCUUCAUCAUCGUGUCUAUAACAUAUCCGAAAAUCAGCUCAAUCGGGUAUGUAUUGAGCAAACGUGAAAGUUAGUCAAGGGGGAGAUCAAUUGGAGCAAGCUGCUGAGGCCCAUGAUA